AACGGCGAAGUGAAGCGGCAAAAGCUCAAAUUUGAAAUCUGGCUCCCUUGCGGGGUCCGAGUUGUAAUUUGCAGAGGAUGCUUCGGGUGCGGCCACGGCGCAAGUCCCUUGGAACAGGGCGUCAUAGAGGGUGAGAAUCCCGUCUUGAGUCGCUGGCACGCGCCCAUGUGAAGCUCCUUCGACGAGUCGAGUUGUUUGGGAAUGCAGCUCUAAGUGGGUGGUAAAUUUCAUCUAAAGCUAAAUACUGGUCGGAGACCGAUAGCGCACAAGUAGAGUGAUCGAAAGGUUAAAAGCACCUUGAAAAGGGAGUUAAACAGCACGUGAAAUUGUUGAAAGGGAAGCGCUUGCGACCAGACUCGGGCGCGGGGGUUCAUCGGGCGGUCUCCGCCCGUGCACUCCCCCGUUUCCCGGGCCAGCAUCGGUUUCGACGGUCGGUCAAAGGCCCCCGGAAUGUGUCGUCUCUCGGGACGUCUUAUAGCCGGGGGUGCAAUGCGGCCUGUCGGGACCGAGGAACGCGCUUCGGCACGGAUGCUGGCGUAAUGGUCGUAAGCGACCCGUCUUGAAACACGGACCAAGGAGUCUAACAUCCACGCGAGUGUUCGGGUGUCAAACCCGUGCGCGCAGUGAAAGCGAACGGAGGUGAGAGCCCGCAAGGGUGCAUCAUCGACCGAUCCUGAAGUCUUCGGAUGGAUUUGAGUAAGAGCGUGGCUGUUGGGACCCGAAAGAUGGUGAACUAUGCCUGAAUAGGGUGAAGCCAGAGGAAACUCUGGUGGAGGCUCGCAGCGGUUCUGACGUGCAAAUCGAUCGUCAAAUUU
rnacentral:rRNA from 1 species